rnacentral:rRNA from 1 species
AUUGAACGCUGGCGGCAUGCCUUACACAUGCAAGUCGAACGGUAACAGGUCUUCGGAUGCUGACGAGUGGCGAACGGGUGAGUAAUACAUCGGAACGUGCCUAGUAGUGGGGGAUAACUACUCGAAAGAGUGGCUAAUACCGCAUGAGAUCUACGGAUGAAAGCAGGGGAUCGCAAGACCUUGUGCUACUAGAGCGGCCGAUGGCAGAUUAGGUAGUUGGUGGGAUAAAAGCUUACCAAGCCGACGAUCUGUAGCUGGUCUGAGAGGACGAUCAGCCACACUGGGACUGAGACACGGCCCAGACUCCUACGGGAGGCAGCAGUGGGGAAUUUUGGACAAUGGGCGCAAGCCUGAUUCAGCAAUGCCGCGUGCAGGAUGAAGGCCUUCGGGUUGUAAACUGCUUUUGUACGGAACGAAAAGCCCCGGGUUAAUACCCUGGGGUCAUGACGGUAAUCAACGAAUAAGAGCUUGCUAACUACGUGCCAGCAGCCGCCGUAA